UACGUAGGGUGCAAGCGUUGUCCGGAAUUAUUGGGCGUAAAGAGCUCGUAGGCGGUCUGUCGCGUCUGCUGUGAAAUCCCGAGGCUCAACCUCGGGUCUGCAGUGGGUACGGGCAGACUAGAGUGCGGUAGGGGAGAAUGGAACUCCUGGUGUAGCGGUGGAAUGCGCAGAUAUCAGGAAGAACACCGAUGGCGAAGGCAGUUCUCUGGGCCGUAACUGACGCUGAGGAGCGAAAGCGUGGGGAGCGAACAGG
rnacentral:rRNA from 1 species